rnacentral:rRNA from 1 species
CAGUAGCCGCGGUAAUACGGAGGGAGCUAGCGUUGUUCGGAAUUACUGGGCGUAAAGCGCACGUAGGCGGUUAUUCAAGUCAGAGGUGAAAGCCCGGGGCUCAACCCCGGAACUGCCUUUGAAACUAGAUGACUAGAAUCUUGGAGAGGUCAGUGGAAUUCCGAGUGUAGAGGUGAAAUUCGUAGAUAUUCGGAAGAACACCAGUGGCGAAGGCGACUGACUGGACAAGUAUUGACGCUGAGGUGCGAAAGCGUGGGGAGCAAACAGGAUUAGAUACCCCAGUAGUCCCUGUCUCUUAUAC